CAGAUCUGGAGAAAUUGCCACUGCGUCUUUAGACCGUUUUCGUCAGACGAGAGACACAGUUCUGACUCUGAUUACUGGUUGCUGUACGUAUCUAUCCACAUCAAGGCUGUUGAGAGAGACUCGUGAAGAUUCAAGACAGCUCUUAGAAGAUUUUGCAGUUUAAAAGUGACAUAAUUGUGAAAUAAGUGUGCAGAUGAGUGAUUAAACUGUGUUUUAUUGAAGUUGUGCGAUUUUAAAGGAAUAAUAAAUGUUAAAUACAGUGAGUGAA